UUGGCCAAAAAGUUCGUUUGGGUUUUUCCAUAAGAUGUUAUGGAAAAACCCCGAGCGAACUUUUUGGCCA
rnacentral:miRNA from 1 species